CCUUGUUCACACCGCCCGUCACACCAUGAAAGUCGGCUGCACUAGAAGUCGCCGGGCUAACCUUCGGGAAGCAGGCGCCAAAGGUGUGGUCGGUAAUUGGGGUG
rnacentral:rRNA from 1 species